rnacentral:rRNA from 1 species
AUGGGUUACACGCCUUUCUUCAUGGUUUACGGAGCUGAGGCGGUUCUCCCUAGUGACAUACGUCACGAUUCGCCUCGUGUGGCGGCUUAUAUUGAAACUGAUAAUGAGACAGCACGUCAGGAUGCUAUUGACCUGUUAGAUGAGGAGCUGACCUUGUGGCGGCUCGUUCGGCGAUUUACUAGCAAGAUCUGCGUCGUUAUCACAGCCGCCGGGUUAAGACCAGGACCUUUCAAGAAGGAGAUUUGGUGCUCCGGCUCAUCCAGGAUCAAACUGAUAUGCACAAGCUAUCCCCACCUUGGGAAGGACCAUUUGUGGUCAGCAAAAAUCUGA